rnacentral:rRNA from 1 species
UACGUAGGGGGCAAGCAUUGUCCGGAUUUAUUGGGCGUAAAGAGCGUGUAGGCGGCCAGAUAGGUCCGUUGUGAAAACUCGAGGCUCAACCUCGAGACGCCGAUGGAAACCAUUUGGCUAGAGUCCGGAAGAGGAGAGUGGAAUUCCUGGUGUAGCGGUGAAAUGCGCAGAUAUCAGGAGGAACACCGGUGGCGAAGGCGGGUCUCUGGGCAGUAACUGACGCUGAGGAGCGAAAGCGUGGGGAGCGAACAGG